UUAAGACGGUAUAAAUUUGUCAUUCCUUUUUUAGUAUUUACUUUGUAUUCGUUCUUGUAUUUAUGUAAUUUUAUUUUCUUGGAAGUAUUUUAUUCUGUUUCUUUUAUAUUUUCAUCCUUAUCUCCAUCUUUUAUUAUUUUAUUUCCUUGCUAAUAAAUAUUAUAAUUUGACUUUUUUUUUCUCUUCCAUUUAACAACUUUGAAUUGGGUUCCAUUUAAAUAAAUGGUCAAUUGACCCAAUUUAAUAUUACAUCACUAAUAUCUUAAAUUUUAGUCAUCGUUGGUGUAACUUUCUAAACAUUCUAUCAUUUGUUUAACUUUCACUUUCUAUGCACCAUUUGAUCUCCUUCUCCGUGGUACAAAAUAUUCACACAAAAAUAAU
rnacentral:lncRNA from 1 species